rnacentral:rRNA from 1 species
CCUACGGGCGGCAGCAGUGAGGAAUAUUGGUCAAUGGGCGGGAGCCUGAACCAGCCAAGCCGCGUGAGGGAAGAAGGUACAGCGUAUCGUAAACCUCUUUUGUCAGGGAACAAAGGCGGGGACUCGUCCCCGGCUGAGGGUACCUGAAGAAAAAGCAUCGGCUAACUCCGUGCCAGCAGCCGCGGUAAUACGGAGGAUGCGAGCGGUAUCCGGAUUUAUUGGGUUUAAAGGGUGCGCAGGCGGAAUGUUAAGUCAGCGGUAAAAGCCAGGGGCUCAACCGCGGCGAGCCGUUGAAACUGGGGGGCUGGAGUUAGAGAGAAGUACGCGGAAUGCGCGGUGUAGCGGUGAAAUGCUUAGAUAUCGCGCAGAACCCCGAUUGCGAAGGCAGCAUACCGGCGCCAAACUGACGCUGAGGCACGAAAGCGUGGGUAUCGAACAGGAUUAGAUACCCGUGUAGUC